CGUUAUGGUGGCUGUGCGUGGAAGGCUUUCGAGCCUGCCGGGUUCCUAUGUCACCGGUUCGUCAAUCCACGUACAGCCGCCACCCUG
rnacentral:antisense_RNA from 1 species